UACGUAGGGUGCAAGCGUUGUCCGGAAUUAUUGGGCGUAAAGAGCUUGUAGGCGGUUUGUCGCGUCUGCUGUGAAAUUUCGGGGCUCAACCCCGAACUUGCAGUGGGUACGGGCAGACUAGAGUGUGGUAGGGGAGACUGGAAUUCCUGGUGUAGCGGUGAAAUGCGUAGAUAUCUGGAGGAACACCGGUGGCGAAGGCGACGUCCUGGACCGGCAUUGACGCUGAGGCGCGAAAGCCAGGGGAGCAAACGGG
rnacentral:rRNA from 1 species